UACGAAGGGGGCUAGCGUUGCUCGGAAUCACUGGGCGUAAAGGGCGCGUAGGCGGCGUUUUUAAGUCGGGGGUGAAAGCCUGUGGCUCAACCACAGAAUGGCCUCGAUACUGGGACGCUUGAGUAUGGUAGAGGUUGGUGGAACUGCGAGUGUAGAGGUGAAAUUCGUAGAUAUUCGGAAGAACACCAGUGGCGAAGGCGGCUCACUGGACGACUGAUGACGCUGAGGUGCGAAAGCGUGGGGAGCAAACAGG
rnacentral:rRNA from 1 species